UGGAAUUCCAUAGAUUUACUUUUAGGUCCUCCUCCACUCCGUUUUCUCUUUUGUUUCUUAAGAUCCGAAAAAAUAAUUGUCUCGGAACAAAAGGAGGACUGAUUUGAAGCUCUAAUAAUCAAAUGCAGGAAGCGAGAUUUGACUGAAGCUGUAAAAGUAUACAUCAAUGGGUGAUUAGCACUUUAUAUACAAGGAUGUUGAAGGAAGGACAACACAGUGGGACAAUAUACAAACAAAGUUAGGCAAUUUACCUCCAAAGCCCGCUCCAUUCAAACCCCCUGCUUUCACCCCGGCAGAAGAUGAGAGUUUGAAACCAAAGGACAAAGCCUGGCUAGAUAAUAAAACUGAAGAAGACCUUGAGCAUCUCGAAGAUGAUCCUGAACUUGAUGAUGACCGCUUCCUUGAAGAAUACAGAAAGCAAAGACUAGCAGAGAUGAGGGAAGGUGCAAAGAUAGCGAAGUUCGGAUCUGUAAUGCCGAUAUCAGGUGCAGAUUUUGUUCGCCAGGUCUCCCAGGCUCCAUCAGACGUUUGGGUCGUAGUGUGUUUGUACAAAGAAGGAAUCGCAGAGUGCGGGAUACUCUUACGGUGCCUGGAUGAACUAGCUACAAGAUACCCAGCAACGAAAUUCGUCAAAAUAAUAUCUACAGAAUGCAUUCCAAACUACCCAGAUCGUAAUGUUCCUACUAUUUUGGUUUACAAUAACAGUGCUGUCAAAGGAACAUAUGUAGGCUCGCAUCAUUUUGGACGGAGGUGUACUCCUGAAGGAUGGUCGUUUGUAUUGAUUUUCUUGAACAACUAUGUUAACUGAUUAAUGUUCAGAUCUAGAGGAUCCUGACCCUAUCUCCACUAUAAUGAAAGACACCCUAUCUCCAUCUUUCAGAGCUGAAGUUUUUGUAAUUCGGUACUUAUUUUUCUACAUUAUUCUUGGCCAUGAUAAUUCAGCUGUUGCAUUAGUCCUCUGCCAAUCCGAUCCUGUACUUAAUGAUGGCCAGAGUUCAAGUGAAUCGUCUAGAGAUGCAGUCCUCGAUCAAGUCCGCAGAAACUUUAUUGAGAAGGUCGUAACAGAGCGUGAAGAUGCAGAUGAUGGAUACAACAGUGAUUAGAAUGUGAAAACUGUUUUCCACUCAGUGAAAAAGAGAGAUGAAGAGGAGAUGCUGGUGUGCAAUAUUAGAUUGGUCAUGUUCUGUUUGAAUUUUAGUUGUCUUUUUGUGUUUAACAUGUAAUUGUCCACUUUAAAAUUCUUCAUCUGAGGUUUCCUAUUGUUAUUAUUAUUUUUUUUUUAUUUUUUUUAACUGGUUGUAAAAAUUAACAGUCUUCUUCUAUCCAUUUGAUAAUAUCAGCCAGAUAGUUAUCUGUAAAAC